GUCGAGGGGUAGAAAUAGCUUGCUAUCUUGAGACCGGCGCACGGGUGAGUAACGCGUAUGCAAUCUACCUUAUACAGGGGAAUAGCCCAGAGAAAUUUGGAUUAAUGCCCCAUGGUUUAUUGAGAUGGCAUCAUUUUAAUAAUAAAGAUUUAUCGGUAUAAGAUGAGCAUGCGUAUCAUUAGCUAGUUGGUGUGGUAACGGCAUACCAAGGCGACGAUGAUUAGGGGUCCUGAGAGGGAGAUCCCCCACACUGGUACUGAGACACGGACCAGACUCCUACGGGAGGCAGCAGUGAGGAAUAUUGGUCAAUGGAGGCAACUCUGAACCAGCCAUGCCGCGUGCAGGAUGACGGUCCUAUGGAUUGUAAACUGCUUUUGUACAGGAAGAAACAUUGCUACGUGUAGCAACUUGACGGUACUGUAAGAAUAAGGAUCGGCUAACUCCGUGCCAGCAGCCGCGGUAAUACGGAGGAUCCGAGCGUUAUCCGGAAUUAUUGGGUUUAAAGGGUUCGUAGGCGGUUAGAUAAGUCAGUGGUGAAAUUUCCUAGCUUAACUAGGGCACUGCCAUUGAUACUGUUUAACUUGAAUAGUAUGGAAGUAACUAGAAUAUGUAGUGUAGCGGUGAAAUGCUUAGAUAUUACAUGGGAUACCAAUUGCGAAGGCAGGUUACUACGUACUUAUUGACG
rnacentral:rRNA from 1 species